AGAGUUUGAUUCUGGCUGACGAUGAACGCUAGCUACAGGCUUAACACAUGCCAGUCGAGGGGAAACGAUAGAGAAAGCUUGCUUUUUCUAGGCGUCGACCGGCGCACGGGUGAGUAACGCGUAUCCAACCUGCCCACCACUUGGGGAUAACCUUGCGAAAGUAAGACUAAUACCCAAUGACGUCCAUAGAAGACAUCUGAAAUGGAUUAAAGAUUUAUCGGUGAUGGAUGGGGAUGCGUCUGAUUAGCUUGUUGGCGGGGUAACGGCCCACCAAAGGCGACGAUCAGUAGGGGUUCUGAGAGGAAGGUCCCCCACAUUGGAACUGAGACACGGUCCAAACUCCUACGGGAGGCAGCAGUGAGGAAUAUUGGUCAAUGGGCGAGAGCCUGAACCAGCCAAGUAGCGUGCAGGAUGACGGCCCUAUGGGUUGUAAACUGCUUUUAUAAGGGAAUAAAGUGAGUCUCGUGAGGCUUUUUGCAUGUACCUUAUGAAUAAGGACCGGCUAAUUCCGUGCCAGCAGCCGCGGUAAUACGGAAGGUCUGGGCGUUAUCCGGAUUUAUUGGGUUUAAAGGGAGCGUAGGCCGGAGAUUAAGCGUGUUGUGAAAUGUAGACGCUCAACGUCUGCACUGCAGCGCGAACUGGUUUCCUUGAGUACACACAAAGUGGGCGGAAUUCGUGGUGUAGCGGUGAAAUGCUUAGAUAUCACGAAGAACUCCGAUUGCGAAGGCAGCUCACUGGAGCGCAACUGACGCUGAAGCUCGAAAGUGCGGGUAUCGAACAGGAUUAGAUACCCUGGUAGUCCGCACGGUAA
rnacentral:rRNA from 1 species